rfam:Myotis davidii contig175910, whole genome shotgun sequence.
GAAGGUUCUCAGGUGAUGCACCCCAGAAUCGGGCUCCCUCCUUUCUGGUUCCUGGUGCAUCACGGAGAACUGCA